rnacentral:rRNA from 1 species
UACGUAGGGGGCAAGCGUUGUCCGGAAUCAUUGGGCGUAAAGCGCGUGUAGGCGGCUCGAUAAGUCUGCUGUGAAAGUCCAGGGCUCAACCCUGGGAUGCCGGUGGAUACUGUCGAGCUCGAGUCCGGAAGAGGCGAGUGGAAUUCCUGGUGUAGCGGUGAAAUGCGCAGAUAUCAGGAGGAACACCAAUGGCGAAGGCAGCUCGCUGGGACGUGACUGACGCUGAGACGCGAAAGCGUGGGGGGCAAACAGG